AGCUUCUUCAAUCAGAAAGGUUUUACUUAACGUGAAUUAAUAGGGAAUUGUGUGUGAAUCACAAACUGUCGCGCAACUGUAAGUAACACAUAAGUUUUUAUCAAUUAUGUCCACUGCCAAAAGCGGGAAGGGCGAUAAAAAUGUUACAAGUCAGGAGACCUGCCUUUAUUGAUUGUUUUUA
rnacentral:ncRNA from 2 species